UACGUAGGUGGCAAGCGUUGUCCGGAUUUAUUGGGUUUAAAGGGCGCGUAGGCGGCAAUUCAAGUCAGCUGUGAAAUCUCCGGGCUUAACUCGGAACGGUCAGCUGAUACUGCUUUGCUAGAGUGCAGAAGGGGCAAUCGGAAUUCUUGGUGUAGCGGUGAAAUGCGUAGAUAUCAAGAGGAACACCUGAGGUGAAGACGGGUUGCUGGGCUGACACUGACGCUGAGGCGCGAAAGCUAGGGUAGCAAACGGG
rnacentral:rRNA from 1 species